GACGUAGGGGGCGAGCGUUGUCCGGAAUUACUGGGCGUAAAGAGCACGUAGGCGGGAACCUAAGUCAGGUGUGAAAGACCGUGGCUCAACCACGGGGUGGCAUUUGAAACUGGGUUUCUUGAGGGCAGGAGAGGAAAGCAGAAUUCCUAGUGUAGCGGUGAAAUGCGUAGAGAUUAGGAAGAACCCCGGUGGCGAAGGCGACUUACUGGACGAUAACUGACGCUGAGGCUCGAAAGCGUGGGGAGCAAACAGGAUUAGAUACCCCGGUAGUCCCUGAGCGGGCUGGCAA
rnacentral:rRNA from 1 species